CAGUCGCCGCGGUAAUACGUAGGUGGCAAGCGUUGUCCGGAAUUAUUGGGCGUAAAGGGCUCGCAGGCGGUUUCUUUAGUCUGAUGUGAAAGCCCCCGGCUCAACCGGGGAGGGUCAUUGGAAACUGGGAAACUUGAGUGCAGAAGAGGAGAGUGGAAUUCCACGUGUAGCGGUGAAAUGCGUAGAGAUGUGGAGGAACACCAGUGGCGAAGGCGACUCUCUGGUCUGUAACUGACGCUGAGGAGCGAAAGCGUGGGGAGCGAACAGGAUUAGAUACCCCGGUAGUCCCUGUCUCUUAUAC
rnacentral:rRNA from 1 species